GGCAAGAUGGCCGAGUGGUCUAAGGCGCGUGACUCAAGCGAUUACAAAGCUUGCCAGCAUGGCUGGUUUCUCGUAGGGCAACCUGCGUGGGUUCGAAUCCCACUCUUGUCA